GACGUAGGGCGCGAGCGUUGUCCGGAUUUAUUGGGCGUAAAGAGCUCGUAGGCGGCUUGUUGCGUCGACCGUGAAAACCCGGGGCUCAACUUCGGGCUUGCGGUCGAUACGGGCGGGCUAGAGUUCGGUAGGGGAGGACUGGAAUUCCUGGUGUAGCGGUGAAAUGCGCAGAUAUCAGGAGGAACACCGGUGGCGAAGGCGGGUCUCUGGGCCGAUACUGACGCUGAGGAGCGAAAGCCAGGGGAGCAAACGGG
rnacentral:rRNA from 1 species